ensembl:misc_RNA Metazoa_SRP Metazoan signal recognition particle RNA
GCCGGGUAUGGUGGCUCAUGCCUGUAAUCCCAGCACUCUGGGAGGCUGAGGUGGGUGGACCACCUGAGGUCAGGAGUUCGAGACCAGCCUGGCCAACAUGGUGAAACCCCAUCUCUA